rnacentral:snRNA from 1 species
GUGCUUGCUCUGGCAGCACAGACACUACAACUGGAAUGACGCAGGGAAGACCAGCAUGACCCCCUGGGCAAGGAUGACACCCACUGUCCAGGGUCCCCUUAAAAAGAG